UCCAGCACCCCACCCCCACCCCAGCCGGCCUGAGCGCUCUGUCCCACCUCCCGGAGGGAGCGUCUGUGUCCGGUCCAGAUCCCUAACCCGACCUCUCCCUCGGACCCGCGGUGGUUGCCGCUGUGGGGCGGGGCUGAAGGGCGGGCCAGAGCCUCCCCGGAAGGGAAGGGGCUGUAGGCUCCCCUGUGCCCUCUGGACUCUGGCCUCGCCCAGGGCCGAUUGGGUGUUUGGGGGGACGGGCCUGGACAGCAAGAAUCUCCUCUGUGUGAGCAAGUCGCUGCCCUUCAGCCACAAGCCAGGGCCGGUGGUGGAGUCCGGCUGGCUCUAGGAUGCGGCCCCUCACUUCACGGAAGGUCCCCCCUCCCAUGCCCACCUUGUAUGGCCCCAGUUCUGCAGCCAUGACUUUGGUGAGUGCCGUCAUCGCGCCCUUGGUGGAGCCUGUGGAGGGCAGAGAGCCCUGAGGACCCAUUAGGGAUUCCACCUCCUAUGCACAGAGGCUAAGCCCCAGAGCCCAGUGUCUCCUGCCUGGAAAGGGGGGUACAGGCUGGGCAGAGGGACUCACUGUAGACAGCUAGGUUGGGGAAGGUGACGUGGGCCACCAUGCUGGACACGUUGACAAUGGAGCCGGGCACUCCACGCUGGAUCAGGCCCCGGGCCACGAUCUAGAAGCCAGGAAAGAGGCAGCCUGACCCCAGGACGCUCCCACCUGGGCCUUGUCAUUGCUGGGCCUUGUCCUCCCUCUGGCUCACCUGGGACACUUGGACCACAGAGCGCAGGUUCACGUUGAAGGUCCUGGGGGAGGGCGGAGAGUCAGAUGGUCCGUGGCCACACCUGCUCUGCAGCAGCCCCUCCCCAGUCUACCUACUCUCCAACUCCCCACCUGUCGAAGACGUGUUUGGUGACCUCCAGGAAGGGCUGCGUCUGCAGCGUGGCAGCAUUGUUCACCAGCAGGUCCACGGGGCCCACGUUGCCCAGUGCCCGCUCCGUGGCCUCCCAGUCACCCAGGUCCACACACACGGUCUCUAUCCCAGGGCACUGUGGAGAGGCAUUGGUCAGCGAUCAAGAAGGUAGUCCGGCAGGCUCCUGAGGCACCCGGAGGGCGUGGGGGGCAGGCUCGGGCCACGGCGGGGGUGCGUGCCUCACCUGCUCGGAGAGGCUCACCAGGUCCGUGUUGGUGCGGCUCACGGCGACCACUGCGGCGCCCAGCGCGUGCAGGGCCUUCACAGUGCCUCUCCCGAUCCCUGCAGGGGUGCACUGGUGAGGAGAUGGCCCCGGGACAUCUGGGUCAAGCCUGAGGACCGAAGCUGCAGCCCCCUCUGCUCGGGAAAGGGAGUGAGAAGGUGCUGGGCAGAGAGUGGGCACCAGGGGGACGUGGUACCAGGUCUGAGGCAGAGGCUCGGCCAGCCAGGCUCCGGCUGAGGGAGGCCCCCGAGGAGCUCCUGCCCACCAGACCCAGGGAAGAGGCCCCGGCUGGACCUCUGAGCUUGAGGGCCACCAUCUGGGGCAGGGGUCUUGCCUUCCUCUCCCAGGGCAGCCUGCCGGGCUCAGGUCCAGGGGCUGUGGGGGCCGCGGUGAGGGGAUGAUUGCUGGCAGGUUGGUCCGUGACAGGCAUGGAGGGACUCAGACCCCCGCGCAAACCUGGGAGGCUCCGCCCACCUUCCCCUCCGGCUCUGCCCUCAGGCACCCUUACCCACCCUGCUCACACCCACCUUUCCCUGCCCCCGUCACCAGGGCCCGCCCGCCGCUGAAGUUCAGCCGCAUGGUACCGACUCUGAGCCUCUGUCCGGUGGGAGAGGAGCGCACGGAGGGAUCUGCUGCCCUCCUGACACACAACCCGAAGGUGCUGGCCAAAAGCCCCACCCUGAGUUUUGAAAAAGGAAAUUAAAAAAAAA